CAAUAGCGUAUAUUAAAGUUGUUGCAGUUAAAAAAGCUCGUAGUCGGAUUUUGGCAUCACGCCGAACUGUCUGCCGAUUGGUAAGUACGGUUUGGCGGGUGCUCUCCUUCCGGAGGCUCGUUCCCUUCUUAAUUGAAGGGUUCGUUGGUUCCGGGUCUUUUACUUUGAAAAAUUAGAGUGUUCAAAGCAGGCCUACGCUUGAAUACAUUAGCAUGGAAUAAUGGAAUAGGACUUUGGUGCUAUUUUGUUGGUUUAUGGGACCGAAGUAAUGAUUAACAGGGACAGUUGGGGCCCGUUUAUAUUUCGUUGUCAGAGGUGAAAUUCUUGGAUUUACGAAAGAUAAACUUCUGCGAAAGCAUUCGGCAAGGAUGUUUUCAUUGAUCAAGAACGAAAGUUAGGGGAUCGAAGACGAUCAGAUACCA
rnacentral:rRNA from 1 species